rnacentral:rRNA from 1 species
UGUCGUCAGCUCGUGUCGUGAGAUGUUGGGUUAAGUCCCGCAACGAGCGCAACCCUUAAGCUUAGUUGCCAUCAUUAAGUUGGGCACUCUAAGUUGACUGCCGGUGACAAACCGGAGGAAGGUGGGGAUGACGUCAAAUCAUCAUGCCCCUUAUGAUUUGGGCUACACACGUGCUACAAUGGACAAUACAAAGGGCAGCGAAACCGCGAGGUCAAGCAAAUCCCAUAAAGUUGUUCUCAGUUCGGAUUGUAGUCUGCAACUCGACUACAUGAAGCUGGAAUCGCUAGUAAUCGUAGAUCAGCAUGCUACGGUGAAUACGUUCCCGGGUCUUGUACACACCGCCCGUCACACCACGAGAGUUUGUAACACCCGAAGCCGGUGGAGUAACCUUUUAGGAGCUAGCCGUCGAAGGUGGGACAAAUGAUUGGGGUGAAGUCGUAACAAGGUAGCCGUAUCGGAAGGUGCGGCU